rnacentral:rRNA from 1 species
CGGACGGGUGAGUAAUGUCUGGGAAACUGCCUGAUGGAGGGGGAUAACUACUGGAAACGGUAGCUAAUACCGCAUAACGUCGCAAGACCAAAGAGGGGGACCUUAGGGCCUCUUGCCAUCGGAUGUGCCCAGAUGGGAUUAGCUAGUAGGUGGGGUAACGGCUCACCUAGGCGACGAUCCCUAGCUGGUCUGAGAGGAUGAUCAGCCACACUGGGACUGAGACACGGCCCAG